GCAGCACUGUUAGUUAGAGGUGCCAAGUUUGUGUGAGAGAGAAGAGUUGAGGCGUAACAGAGAAUGGGCAACUUGAAUAUGUUGCGGUCCCCAGUUCAUAUCGUCGUCAGUGUAUCAUCGUUUGUGUUGCUCUUUGCAAUGCUCCAGCUGAAAGAAGGUAGUGAGUGAUCUUGAAAAUUGUGUAACACGAGUACGCAAAGAACGUCGUCUGCUACAACUGCAAGGUUGGAUCGAAUCAUUUGAUGGGCUUUGAAAGCAAUUAGAUUUCGGUCAUUUGUGAAUGUGCACAUAUGGUAAGAUGUUGGCUGUCAAUCACCAUCCCCUAAUUCCGGGUUCGUCAGUCAGUCAGACUAACAAGAAAUAAAUCUAAGAUUUGCCUCAACACCUUCCUCUACCUUCAUUCAGGAACCCCAGAUCGUGCUUACACGUGUGUCUUGGGCCUAAUUCUGGCGUAAUCUGGCUCAAAGCAGUCGGUGCAAUCCAUCUCGGAUUCGGCGUGUUUUUGCUCGUAUUUGCGGAGUGGAUGAGAUCAAAGGAGUGAAAAAGCCCAAGCUUGGGCCUAAAAGAAAAAAAGCACUCGCAUUCACAGAAACGUAGAAACAUGCUUCCAAAGUGGCAGAUCUCGUGGCUAAUUGUGGCCCUGUCGGGGAUAUUUCUUAUGGCCCUGGAUGUUCGAGCCGAGCGAUACGAUAUCCACAUCCGUCAGGCCCCGCAAAAAAGCUACGAAGAAGAAGAAGAUGGCAAAAUACUACCCACAAAGACUUUCUUGUCGACUUUUGAGAUCCUUCUCUUAUGCUCCUUAUUCAUCUUGACGAUCCUCUUUCUCGGUUUCUGCAUGCUCUAUCUCUAUUGCUUCGGAUGCCGAUGUCCUGGAUGGUUCAAGACGUGUUGUUGUUGUGGGUGUUGUCGGCGACGAAAAUCCAAUGAUUAUACGCAAGUCCAACUUCACCGGGAUCGAAAAAUCGGCGAGAUCUGGAAGACCAACUAUCCUCCUAGUGGCAAACGACCCAAUCCGGUUUAGUUUGAACGAGGCAAAAAAUCCCGAGGCCAAACCCGGCAUGAACAUAAUGAAGAGUUACUUAGAUUCUCCGAUUUCUUGCUCCUUUUCUCCUCAGAUUCUCCGAUUCCUUGAUCUAUUUUCAAGCAUUUCGAGCUGAUUCUUUCUGCUGCGAUUUUGGUUUAUGAUUGUCUACUACUCUAAAUAUAAUUCAUAAAUAUAGCGUUCUCGAUUAGA